GGCCCACCAAGGCGACGAUCCGUAGCUGGUCUGAGAGGAUGAUCAGCCACACUGGAACUGAGACACGGUCCAGACUCCUACGGGAGGCAGCAGUGGGGAAUAUUGGACAAUGGGCGCAAGCCUGAUCCAGCCAUACCGCGUGGGUGAAGAAGGCCUUCGGGUUGUAAAGCCCUUUUGUUGGGAAAGAAAUCCAGCCGGCUAAUACCUGGUUGGGAUGACGGUACCCAAAGAAUAAGCACCGGCUAACUUCGUGCCAGCAGCCGCGGUAAUACGAAGGGUGCAAGCGUUACUCGGAAUUACUGGGCGUAAAGCGUGCGUAGGUGGUUGUUUAAGUCUGUUGUGAAAGCCCUGGG
rnacentral:rRNA from 1 species